AAAGGGUGCUUGGCUGUGGCUGACUGAGGAGCCCCUUGAGGAAGAGAGCCACUGUGACAGGCCCUAACACCCAAGGAAAAGAGGAAGAAGAAGAGACAGGUGAGCCAAGAAGAGGGGGAGAAAGCAGACCAGCAAAAGGCCCAACAGUGACAGCUUCUGAGAGUCAGAACAGGCAGAGAAUGCUGACUCAUCUUCUGGAGACAUUUCAUCCAGUUCAAAGUGAGCACUAGGGCGGUGGGAAGAUCACCCUCGGGGCUCCCUCCGAACAUGCAGCUUGACGGUUCCAGAUGUCAUCAGGAUGCCGGCCAGGCUUCCCUGGACUGAAGACCCCACCAAUGUGUCCUGGAGCUCCUCCUCCCCAGAGACCCACCCUACUAGGGAAAGAGAGAGGCAGACUGGGAGUGUGGACCGACCAGUCAAUGCCCAUGUUCAGCGGGGAAACAAUUACAGAAGCCAGACCUUCCACCUUCUACAACCCACAAUGACCCUGGGUCCAUGCUCCCAGAGGGAUAGAGAAUGGGAAAGCUAU